AACGAACGCUGGCGGCAGGCUUAACACAUGCAAGUCGAACGCAUGCCUUCGGGCAUGAGUGGCAGACGGGUGAGUAACGCGUGGGAACCUACCCCUUGGUACGGGAUAGCUCCGGGAAACUGGAGAUAAUACCGUAUGUGUCCUGAGGGACAAAGAUUCAUCGCCAAGGGAUGGGCCCGCGUCGGAUUAGCUAGUUGGUGGGGUAACGGCCUACCAAGGCGACGAUCCGUAGCUGGUCUAAGAGGAUGCUCAGCCACAUUGGGACUGAGACACGGCCCAAACUCCUACAGGAGGCAGCAGUGGGGAAUAUUGGACAAUGGGCGCAAGCCUGAACCAGCCAUGCCGCGUGAGUGAUGAAGGCACUAGGGUUGUAAAGCUCUUUCAACGGUGACGAUAAUGACGGUAACCGGAGAAGAAGCCCCGGCUAACUUCGUG
rnacentral:rRNA from 1 species